rnacentral:rRNA from 1 species
GUUUGAUUCUGGCUCAGAACGAACGCUGGCGGCAGGCUUAACACAUGCAAGUCGAGCGCCCUGCUUGCAGGGAGCGGCAGACGGGUGAGUAACGCGUGGGAACAUACCUUUCGGUUCGGAAUAGCCCCGGGAAACUGGGUGUAAUACCGAAUACGUCCUUAGGGAGAAAGAUUUAUCGCCGAAAGAUUGGCCCGCGUUAGAUUAGAUAGUUGGUGAGGUAACGGCUCACCAAGUCGACGAUCUAUAGCUGGUUUGAGAGGAUGAUCAGCCACACUGGGACUGAGACACGGCCC